UACAGAGGGGGGCAAGCGUUAUUCGGAAUUAUUGGGCGUAAAGGGCGCGUAGGCGGCCUGGCAAGUGGAAGGUGAAAUCCCUCGGCUUAACCGAGGAACUGCCCUCCAAACUGCUUGGCUUGAGUCCGGGAGAGGUGAGUGGAAUUCCCAGUGUAGCGGUGAAAUGCGUAGAUAUUGGGAGGAACACCAGUGGCGAAGGCGGCUCACUGGACCGGAACUGACGCUGAACGGCGAAAGCUAGGGGAGCAAACGGG
rnacentral:rRNA from 1 species